CGCCAGACUCCUACGGGAGGCAGCAGUGGGGAAUAUUGCACAAUGGGGGAAACCCUGAUGCAGCGACGCCGCGUGAGCGAUGAAGUAUUUCGGUAUGUAAAGCUCUAUCAGCAGGGAAGAAAAUGACGGUACCUGACUAAGAAGCCCCGGCUAACUACGUGCCAGCAGCCGCGGUAAUACGUAGGGGGCAAGCGUUAUCCGGAUUUACUGGGUGUAAAGGGAGCGUAGACGGCUGUGCAAGCCAGAUGUGAAAGCCCGGGGCUCAACCCCGGGACUGCAUUUGGAACUGUGUGGCUGGAGUGUUGGAGAGGCAGGCGGAAUUCCUAGUGUAGUGGUGAAAUGCGUAGAUAUUAGGAGGAACACCAGUGGCGAAGGCGGCCUGCUGGACGAUGACUGACGUUGAGGCUCGAAAGCGUGGGGAGCAAACAGGAUUAGAUACCCGUGUA
rnacentral:rRNA from 1 species